rnacentral:lncRNA from 1 species
GUCAAGAGCUGACUCAUCACUUUUCUUUCCUAGAAAGUGAUGCAGAGUAAACGGAGCAGAGGAGUAUUUCACCAACAUCUCUGAAUUAGAGAGAGGCAAGAGUUACCUGUCAGAGUGGUUCUGAGAAAAGAUGCAGAGCUACCUCAUUGCCAGUAGGGACCAACAUUUGUCAGUGACUUCUGAAAGAACAAGCAAUCCUCAUGAAACAUAAAUUGUGAGCUGGCCUGGCUUCUCAGUGAUGGAAGAACAGUUUCCUAAAGCAACUGGACAUCCUUCCACUCACCUCCUAGAGUGGCAAGAAUCUGGCCACAGCCAUGCCAUGUAUUUGGAAUAGAGAAUGAGAAAAUCAGAUGAGGAAGGUGACCUCAUGCCCUGCACGUUCAACAAACUCGGGAGGAAACUUGAAGAGAUGACACUUCCUAACUAGACUGCUCUUGAUCUCAACCUCCUCACACCUUUAGUGACGCAUGGCUGAACAGGUAAUGCUGUUCAUGCCACCAGGCUUUGACCUUGAGAUCAAAAAGAAGAAUUCUAGCAGCAACCAG